UUGGAGGGCAAGUCUGGUGCCAGCAGCCGCGGUAAUUCCAGCUCCAAUAGCGUAUAUUAAAGUUGUUGCAGUUAAAAAGCUCGUAGUUGAAUUUCGGGGUCAAUAGGUUGGUCAUGCCACUGGUAUGUACUGGUCUCACUGAUUCCUCCUUCUUGAUGAACUGUAAUGCCAUUAAUUUGGUGUUGCAGGGAAUCUGGACUGUUACUUUGAAAAAAUUAGAGUGUUUAAAGCAGGCUAACGCCUGAAUACAUUAGCAUGGAAUAAUGAAAUAGGACGUUCGAUCCUAUUUUGUUGGUUUCUAGGAUUGACGUAAUGAUUAAUAGGGAUAGUUGGGGGCAUUAGUAUUCAAUUGUCAGAGGUGAAAUUCUUGGAUUUAUUGAAGACUAACUACUGCGAAAGCAUUUGCCAAGGAUGUUUUCAUUAAUCAAGAACGAAAGUUAGGGGAUCGAAGACGAUCAGAUACCGUCGUAGUCUUAACCAUAAACUAUGCCGACUAGGGAUCGGAUGAUGUUAAUUUUUUAAUGACUCAUUCGGCGCCUUACGGGAAAC
rnacentral:rRNA from 1 species